AAUUCCUCCUGACGACGGAUUAAAAAGAUGCUAGAACCAGGUGGCCGGUUUUGUGGCUGCAGAACCAGCGGCGCUGGGACCGCGGAGCCGGCUGCCCCUCGGCGCGCGUGCGGACGGAGGGCGCGUGCGGCUGCGCGGGAACGCGCUGAAGCGGCUGCGGGCAGCGCGCCGGAGCUGGGACGGAGCGGAGGUAUUACUACAGCUAAAGAAGUAAACAGCUCAUGGCACGUUUAACAAAAAGAUGACAGGUGGAUACAAAAGCUAUCCAGCAUCUUUGGGCAGCCAUUGAGAUUAUACGGAACCAGAAGCAAAUUGCCAACAUUGACCGUAUUACCAAAUUUCCAAUCAAGAUGUAAAGGGUGAAGAAUCAUAGAACAAAGAAUCAAUAACAAGUGAAAUUUAAGCCUUCAAUCAUGCAGAUUCCUAAUAUGAUUCAUAACUCAUUGUCAUGUUAUUUCUCUAAAUGCCAUGUAUAGUUUAAUGUCCAAUAAAAUAAAGUUACAUA